rnacentral:rRNA from 1 species
UACGGAGGGUCCGAGCGUUAUCCGGAAUUAUUGGGUUUAAAGGGUCCGUAGGCGGGCCGAUAAGUCAGGGGUGAAAGUCCGCCGCUCAACGGUAGAACUGCCUUUGAUACUGUCGGUCUUGAGUUAUAGUGAAGUUGCCGGAAUAUGUAGUGUAGCGGUGAAAUGCAUAGAUAUUACAUAGAACACCGAUUGCGAAGGCAGGUGACUAACUAUAUACUGACGCUGAUGGACGAAAGCGUGGGGAGCGAACAGG